ACCUACUUGACUCAGCGGUUUGAGUAUCGCUUUCAUACGGCGAGAGUCAUUGGUUCAAAUCCAAUAGUAGGUA
rnacentral:tRNA from 1 species